rnacentral:rRNA from 1 species
GGUGAACGCUGGCGGCGUGCCUAAUACAUGCGAGUCGAGCGAACAGAUGAGGAGCUUGCUCCUCUGACGUUAGCGGCGGACGGGUGAGUAACACGUGGAUAACCUACCUAUAAGACUGGGAUAACUUCGGGAAACCGGAGCUAAUGCCGGAUAAUAUAUUGAACCGCAUGGUUCAAUAGUGAAAGACGGUUUUGCUGUCACUUAUAGAUGGAUCCGCGCCGCAUUAGCUAGUUGGUAAGGUAACGGCUUACCAAGGCAACGAUGCGUAGCCGACCUGAGAGGGUGAUCGGCCACACUGGAACUGAGACACGGUCCAGACUCCUACGGGAGGCAGCAGUAGGGAAUCUUCCGCAAUGGGCGAAAGCCUGACGGAGCAACGCCGCGUGAGUGAUGAAGGUCUUCGGAUCGUAAAACUCUGUUAUUAGGGAAGAACAAAUGUGUAAGUAACUAUGCACGUCUUGACGGUACCUAAUCAGAAAGCCACGGCUAACUACGUG